rnacentral:rRNA from 1 species
AACGAACGCUGGCGGCAUGCCUAACACAUGCAAGUCGAACGAACCCUUCGGGGUUAGUGGCGCACGGGUGCGUAACGCGUGGGAAUCUGCCCCCUGCUUCGGAAUAACAGUUAGAAAUGACUGCUAAUACCGGAUGAUGUCUUCGGACCAAAGAUUUAUCGGCAAAGGAUGAGCCCGCGUAGGAUUAGGUAGUUGGUGGGGUAAAGGCCUACCAAGCCGACGAUCCUUAGCUGGUCUGAGAGGAUGAUCAGCCACACUGGGACUGAGACACGGCCCAGACUCCUACGGGAGGCAGCAGUGGGGAAUAUUGGACAAUGGACGCAAGUCUGAUCCAGCAAUGCCGCGUGAGUGAUGAAGGCCUUAGGGUUGUAAAGCUCUUUUACCAGGGAUGAUAAUGACAGUACCUGGAGAAUAAGCUCCGGCUAACUCCGUGCCAGCAGCCGCCGUAAAAC